AUUGAACGCUGGCGGCAGGCUUAACACAUGCAAGUCGAGCGGGGUGAUGGUGCUUGCACUAUCACUUAGCGGCGGACGGGUGAGUAAUGCUUAGGAAUCUGCCUAUUAGUGGGGGACAACAUCUCGAAAGGGAUGCUAAUACCGCAUACGUCCUACGGGAGAAAGCAGGGGAUCACUUGUGACCUUGCGCUAAUAGAUGAGCCUAAGUCGGAUUAGCUAGUUGGUGGGGUAAAGGCCUACCAAGGCGACGAUCCGUAGCGGGUCUGAGAGGAUGAUCCGCCACACUGGGACUGGAACACGGCCCAGACUCCUACGGGAGGCAGCAGUGGGGAAUAUUGGACAAUGGGGGGAAUCCUGAUCCAGCCAUGCCGCGUGUGUGAAGAAGGCCUUAUGGUUGUAAAGCUCUUUAAGCGAGGAGGAGGCUCUUUUGGUUAAUACCCAAGAUGAGUGGACGUUACUCGCAGAAUAAGCACCGGCUAACUCUGUGCCAGCCGCCGCAGUAA
rnacentral:rRNA from 1 species